GAUGAACGCUGGCGGCGUGCCUAAUACAUGCAAGUCGAGCGAACGGACGAGAAGCUUGCUUCUCUGAUGUUAGCGGCGGACGGGUGAGUAACACGUGGAUAACCUACCUAUAAGACUGGGAUAACUUCGGGAAACCGGAGCUAAUACCGGAUAAUAUUAUGAACCGCAUGGUUCAAAAGUGAAAGACGGUCUUGCUGUCACUUAUAGAUGGAUCCGCGCUGCAUUAGCUAGUUGGUAAGGUAACGGCUUACCAAGGCAACGAUGCAUAGCCGACCUGAGAGGGUGAUCGGCCACACUGGAACUGAGACACGGUCCAGACUCCUACGGGAGGCAGCAGUAGGGAAUCUUCCGCAAUGGGCGAAAGCCUGACGGAGCAACGCCGCGUGAGUGAUGAAGGUCUUCGGAUCGUAAAACUCUGUUAUUAGGGAAGAACAUAUGUGUAAGUAACUGUGCACAUCUUGACGGGACCUAAGCAGAAAGCCACGGCUAACUACGU
rnacentral:rRNA from 1 species